rnacentral:rRNA from 1 species
UACAGAGACUGCAAGCGUUAUUCGGAUUCACUGGGCGUAAAGGGUGCGCAGGCGGCCAAGUGUGUUAGGCGUGAAAGCCCGGGGCUCAACCCCGGAAGUGCAUUGGAUACUGGGAGGCUGGAGUACCGGAGAGGAGGGUGGAAUUCCUGGUGUAGCGGUGAAAUGCGUAGAUAUCAGGAAGAACACCCGUGGCGAAGGCGGCUCUCUGGGACGGUACUGACGCUGAGACGCGAAAGCGUGGGGAGCGAACAGG